rnacentral:rRNA from 1 species
AUUGAACGCUGGCGGCAUGCCUUACACAUGCAAGUCGAACGGCAGCGGGGGAGAAGCUUGCUUUUCCUGCCGGCGAGUGGCGAACGGGUGAGUAAUACAUCGGAACGUGCCCAGUCGUGGGGGAUAACGUAGCGAAAGCUACGCUAAUACCGCAUACGAUCUAAGGAUGAAAGCGGGGGAUCGCAAGACCUCGCGCGAUUGGAGCGGCCGAUGGCAGAUUAGGUAGUUGGUAGGGUAAAGGCCUACCAAGCCGACGAUCUGUAGCUGGUCUGAGAGGAUGAUCAGCCACACUGGGACGGAGACACGGCCCAGGCUCCUACGGGAGGCAGCAGUGGGGAAUUUUGGACAAUGGGCGCAAGCCUGAUCCAGCCAUUCCGCGUGCAGGAUGAAGGCCUUCGGGUUGUAAACUGCUUUUGUACAGAACGAAAAGGCUCUGGUUAAUACCCGGGGCUCAUGACGGUACUGUAAGAAUAAGCACCGGCUAACUACGUGCCAGCCGCCGCAGUAA